UGAGGGGCAUCUAUGCUUAUGGUACCUUUUUUUUUUUGCAUAUAUUUGCAAAUUUCAUACAAAUGUUAGGGUCAUUCUUAAUGCUUAUUUUGUUUUGGAGUCAGUUUUUACCUAAUUCCUUGCUUACCUUUUCUUAUGAGAUUUUGAAUGAGACUAAUGUGGUUGGAAUCCUACUGUUUUGUUUGGCAAUUUAACUCUUGCUGAAG
rnacentral:misc_RNA from 1 species